rnacentral:lncRNA from 12 species
AGAAAUAUGAAUGAAGCACAAUGUGCUUUCUAAUUCUGAUGCCUCUGAAAAUGAAUAUUAAAGCAUUAUUGAAGCAUUUCAUCUACCACAUGCAUAUAUUUGUGAAGGACAAAAGUACUGAGGGAGAAAAAAGGACAUGGAUGCUUCUGGAGCAAAUGACCUGGAAUAAGAAGGAAUUGCAGAAAUACGUGAGGAGUAUCAAAGAAAUCUGAUUGUCUUCAAAGUGAGAAGGUGGAUGUCCCUGCCAAAAUUUUAGCACUUCUAAAUAAUUGAUAUAAUCUCACUGGAGCUCAGAGAGAAUUCUUAACCAAUCCAUCAAUCUAUUUUAAAGAGUGAGCACAGACUUGGGGAAGUGGGGGA